GGGGGAUGAAGUUUCCAUACUGUUGUUGAGACGACACUGCAGUUCCUUCUGAAGGCACCAUGAAGCUCAGCAUCGCCAUCACCAUCUGCGCUCUACUCUACUUCUUUGGUCCUGCUUUCGGCCAGAAUACGAAUAGCGGAAGUUUUGGAAACAGCGGGAGUAUGAAUAUGGGUCGACUGAGGCGUGACAAUACCAAUAGCGGAAGUUUUGACAACAGCGGGAGUAUGAAUAUGGGUCGACUGAGGCGUGACAAUACCAAUAGCGGAAGUUUUGGAAACAGCGGGAGUAUGAAUAUGGGUAGACUGAGGCGUGACAAUACCAAUAGCGGAGGUUUCGCUAACAGCGGAAGCAUGAAUAUGGGUCGACUGAGGCGUGACAAUACCAAUAGCGGAAGUUUUGGAAACAGCGGGAGUAUGAACAUGGGUUGAGGCGUACCUCUGAACCAACUGGAAAUGCAAUCGACCCAAAAGAUUGCUGAUGACGGGGAGCAGAGCUGCAGAGCUACGGUCCACCGUUGGUCCACCGUUGGUCAGGAAGACUCCAGAGUCACUUUGACACAAUAAAGAAUUUCAGCAUCA